AUAACUCAAGAACGCAUACGCCUAGGAUCAUGAAACUUCAUGGGUAGAUUGAUCAUGACUCGCAAAUGACCCCUAUUGAUUUUGAGGUCACUAGGUCAAAGGUCAAGGUCACAGUGACCCGAAAUAGUAAAAUGGUUUCCGGAUGAUAACUCAAGAACGCUUAGGCCUAGGAUCAUGAAACUUGAUAGGUAGAUUGAUUAUGACUCGCAGAUGACCCCUAUUGAUUUUCAGGUCACUAGGUCAAAGGUCAAGGUCACAGUGACCCAAAAUAGUAAAAUGGUUUCCGGAUGAUAACUCAAGAACGCUUAUGCCUAGGAUCAUGAAACUUGGUAGGUAGAUUGAUAAUGGCUGGCAGAUGACCCCUAUUGAUUUUCAGUUCACUAGGUCAAAGGUCAAGGUCAUGGUGACCCGAAAAAGUAAAAUGGUUUCCAGAUGAUAACUCAAGAACGCUUAUGCCUAGGAUCAUGAAACUUCAUAGGUACAUUGAUCAUGACUCGCAGAUGAACCCUAUUGAUUUUCAGGUCACAAGGUCAAAGGUCAAGGUCACGGUGACCCGAAAUAGUAAAAUUGUUUCCGGAUGAUAACUCAAGAACGCUUAUGCCUAGGAUCAUGAAACUUGAUAGGUAGAUUGAUAAUCACUCGCAGUUGACCCCUAUUGAUUUUGAGGUCACUAGGUCAAAGGUCAAGGUCAUGGUGACCUAAAAUAGUAAAAUGGUUUCCGGAUUAUAACUCAAGAACGCUUAUGCGUAGGAUCAUGAAACUUCAUAGGUACAUUGAUCAUGACUCGCAGAUGACCCCUAUCCAUUUUGAGGUCACUAGGUCAAAGGUCAAGUUCACGGUGGCCUGAAAUAGUAAAAUGGUUUCCUAAAAUGGUUUCCGGAUGAAAACUGAAGAACGCUUAUUCCUAGGAUCAUGAAACUUGAUAGGUAGAUUGAUCAUGACUCACAGAUGACCCCUAUUGAU